AGCAGCCGCGGUAAUUCCAGCUCCAAUAGCGUAUAUUAAAGUUGCUGCAGUUAAAAAGCUCGUAGUUGAAUUUCGGGACCAUCAUGUCGGUCGUGCCUCGGUACGUACUGGCAUCGUUGGUUUCUCCCUUCUGACGAACCAUGAUGUCAUUUAUUUGGUGUUGUGGGGAAUCAGGACUGUUACUUUGAAAAAAUUAGAGUGUUUAAAGCAGGCUCACGCUUGAAUACAUUAGCAUGGAAUAAUGAAAUAGGACGUUUGAUUCUAUUUUGUUGGUUUCUAGGAUCGACGUAAUGAUUAAUAGGGAUAGUUGGGGGUCAUUAGUAUUCAAUUGUCAGAGGUGAAAUUCUUGGAUUUAUUGAAGACUAACUACUGCGAAAGCAUUUGCCAAGGAUGUUUUCUAUUAAUACAAGAACGAAAGUUAGGGGAUCGAAGACGAUCAGAUACCGUCGUAGUCUUAACCAUAAACUAUGCCGACUAGGGAUCGGAUGAUGUUUAAUUUUUUAAUGACUCAUUCGGUCG
rnacentral:rRNA from 1 species